AUUUAAAUAGCUUAUAAAGAGUAUAAUAUUGAAGAUAUUAAGGAGAUUGAUUAAUCUUUAAAUA
rnacentral:tRNA from 1 species